rnacentral:lncRNA from 1 species
ACUGAGGUUCUCCUUAACAAAGGCUGCUUCUAGCAAUCAAUUAUGGCCUCUUGAUUGUUGAUCAAAACCUUGUUCCCCUCUGCAUCCGGAACAUUCACCUUGCUGGCUUGGGAGGCAGUGCACACAGGACACUAGCCUCUGAAAUCUUCCAUCCUUCAGCCAGCACCUCCCUCCCGCCUGGACUGCGCUAGGCCACCUUGAGCAUGGUUUGAACUAUGGAAUGGCAACAUGCAAAUAAAAUGAUGUUUGUAUGUAUGUAGGGUUGACCCUGAACUUGUGCUCGUGUUCAAAGGUUAGGUUUCAGUUUCAUUCUUUAUUGCUGAUU